rnacentral:rRNA from 1 species
GGAAGUAAAAGUCGUAACAAGGUCUCCGUUGGUGAACCAGCGGAGGGAUCAUUAUAGAGUUUUCUAAACUCCCAACCCAUGUGAACUUACCAUUGUUGCCUCGGCAGAAGCUACCUGGUUACCCUACCUUGGAACGGCCUACCCUGUAGCGCCUUACCCUGGAACGGCCUACCCUGUAACGGCUGCCGGUGGACUACCAAACUCUUGUUAUUUUAUUGUAAUCUGAGCGUCUUAUUUUAAUAAGUCAAAACUUUCAACAACGGAUCUCUUGGUUCUGGCAUCGAUGAAGAACGCAGCGAAAUGCGAUAAGUAAUGUGAAUUGCAGAAUUCAGUGAAUCAUCGAAUCUUUGAACGCACAUUGCGCCCAUUAGUAUUCUAGUGGGCAUGCCUGUUCGAGCGUCAUUUCAACCCUUAAGCCUAGCUUAGUGUUGGGAGCCUACUGCUUUUGCUAGCGGUAGCUCCUGAAAUACAACGGCGGAUCUGCGAUAUCCUCUGAGCGUAGUAAUUUUUAUCUCGCUUUUGACUAGAGUUGCAGCGUCUUUAGCCGCUAAACCCCCCAAUUUUUUUACUGGUUGACCUCGGAUCAGGUAGGAAUACCCGCUGAACUUAAGCAUAUCAAUAAGCGGAGGA